rnacentral:lncRNA from 1 species
CUCAAAUAAUUUUUUUUAAUUGAUAAAAAAAUGAGCCACAAGUAAAAUCAUCCUCCGAUCUAGACAAGGCAUUAAUUGUAGAGUGCUUGAAUGAAAUAUUGUAAAACAAAGGGCUUCAAGGAAUCCAAGUUGAUGAGGCGAUGGACUGUCAGAUAAUAAUAAUAAGGUAAUAUAAGAUUAGAAUAAUCACUUCACUCAACCGGGUUGAAAAUAACAUUCUUAAUCCAAAAAAUUUUCAAGAUUAUUCUUAAUCCAAGGAUGCCCCUGUCGCAUCACAGUUGUGAUUCCCGAGCGUUAUACAGCAGAACCUUUAUACAGGACCCCCGAGGAGGGACAGAGCUAUGCUCGCAGGAGCAAAUCUGUCUUCUCUCAUAAGGGUUAGGACGGACAAGAGUAUGCUUGACCCCAGUGAGCU